rnacentral:lncRNA from 1 species
UGCCAGGUUAAUUCCAUCAGAACAAAAGCAUAUUAAUGCUCUCUUGCUAUAGGUAUUAAAGAAAGGAGUGUCAGAUAUCCUAGGGCAGUGAGAGGCUGAGAUUCAGAAGAGCCUAGGAGCAAAUAGGUGCUGCCAGGCAGAUCAGGGAUUGGAGGCGAGUGGUAAAUACAUGGUGUGGGCAGAUGAGUGGAAGGACAAAUGGCAAAAACUCAUCACCCCUAGUAGCAAGGAGCUGCUUCUUUCAAAACCUGUGAUGUGGCACAAAGAAGACAACAUUCCUGUCCUCAUAGGGACACUUAGUUAAGUCAAACGCAGGACAGCAGCACAGUAACUGACAGAGUAUCAAGAGAGUGGCAAGCAGGCUUUACAGUGCACACUGUUGACAUAUGGCAUGUGCCAAAUGUGUGCAGCCCUCCAAGCGUGUAGGUUCGUGGCAGUGCAUCUUGUGCUGGAAGAAAUACAGUCGGACUCCAACUUUUCACUCAGUUCCGUCCUUUACUGACAGGUCCAAAGCAUUAAGGCAGUUUCACUAAAUACAUAAAGUACAGGCUUCCACCAGAUCCCUAGCAGGCUUCAAAUGCAAAGCAUACAUACAGCAGAGAGUUCAGUGAUUUGCCUGUCCUUUUGCUUGGUCUCUAUAUGUUCAGAUGCCUCACCAAAUUUGACGCAAUAGUUACCAAGGUGGGAUGUCAGACGACGUCAUUAUUUGGAUGCUAGGCAUGACUUUGAAUGAAGAUGGCAAACCAAAACAUCACUUUGGCAUGACUUGGCACAUUUUUUGACAUAGGUUCAACUGGCACUCUAGAUAUCAUUGCCAAACUCAGCAUGAGGGUUCCUGAGGUUGGGGUGGGGGUGUCUCUGUUGAUGUCUGGAUGCCAAGAGCCAUUUUGAAUUAAUAUGGCAGGCUGAAAUGUGAGUUUGGUGUGACUUCACCCAAUUUUUGUUGUGAUGGGUCUCAAACCACAAAUUGCACUAUUCAUUUAAAAAGAACCUUUUUUUGUUGUUUCUAAGAAGUCCCAGGCAGUGCCAGGCACACCCCAUUAGUUUUUUGGGGAAAGGGCUGUAUAGCAAAUAGAGUGCCUCAAGAAACAUUGCAGAAAAGAAAUGACUGCACCGAUAAGACUGGUUGGAGGGUUAAUUGUUUAUUGACUUCCAUACAGGAGUCUCCUGCUGCUGCAACCAGCUCCCUUCACCCCUGGUAUCCUAGAACACGCAGAGCAAUGAAACAGGCAGAGGAGAGGUGUCGUGGUGCGCAGAUGCAGCCUGACAUUGUGUGGGAAAGACCCUGGAGAUGAGAAGUCCUAGUGGGCACUGGGAAGGCAGGGACCUUCAGUCCUUGCAACUGACCUCCUAGAAAGAGUUGCCGAGGCCACUGGGCAAGAGCUGUGGUUUGUUUCCUUCACUGGCCUCAGAUGAUUUAUUGUUUUGUUGCUGACCUCUUCCUGUCUCCAGCCCUGACCAUCAGGGAUGAUGGGAGCUGCAUGUCCAAAAACAUCUAGAGGGUCACAGGUUCCUCAGUCUCAGCAGACCUUGCAAACCCAAAUGGAAUUUAGACUGCAAGCCUGCAGGCAUGGACUGCUCUGAAUUUUUAUUCACUUACUGCACUU